UACGUAGGGGGCAAGCGUUGUCCGGAUUUAUUGGGCGUAAAGAGCGUGUAGGCGGCCAAACAGGUCAGCUGUGAAAACUCGAGGCUCAACCUCGAGACGUCGGUUGAAACCGUUUGGCUAGAGUCCGGAAGAGGAGAGUGGAAUUCCCGGUGUAGCGGUGAAAUGCGCAGAUAUCGGGAAGAACACCCGUGGCGAAGGCGGCUCUCUGGGACGGUACUGACGCUAAGGCGCGAAAGCGUGGGGAGCGAACAGG
rnacentral:rRNA from 1 species